rnacentral:rRNA from 1 species
UACGUAGGGUGCAAGCGUUAAUCGGAAUUACUGGGCGUAAAGCGUGCGCAGGCGGUUUUGUAAGUCUGUUGUGAAAUCCCCGGGCUCAACCUGGGAAUUGCAUUUGUGACUGCACGGCUAGAGUGUGUCAGAGGGGGGGUAGAAUUCCACGUGUAGCAGUGAAAUGCGUAGAGAUGUGGAGGAAUACCGAUGGCGAAGGCAGCCCCCUGGGAUAACACUGACGCUCAUGCACGAAAGCGUGGGGAGCAAACAGG